rnacentral:rRNA from 1 species
GAAACGACUGCUAAGACUGGAUAGCAGACAAGAAGGCAUCUUCUUGUUUUUAAAAGACCUAUUAAUAGGUAUGCUUAGGGAGGAGCUUGCGUCACAUUAGUUAGUUGGUUGGGUAAAGGCCUACCAAGACUAUGAUGUGUAGCCGGGCUGAGAGGUUGAACGGCCACAUUGGGACUGAGACACGGCCCAAACUCCUACGGGAGGCAGCAGUAGGGAAUUUUCGGCAAUGGAGGAAACUCUGACCGAGCAACGCCGCGUGAACGAUGAAGUAUUUCGGUACGUAAAGUUCUUUUAUUAGGGAAGAAUAAAUGAUGGAAAAAUCAUUCUGACGGUACCUAAUGAAUAAGCCCCGGCUAACUAUGUGCCAGCAGCCGCGGUAAUACAUAGGGGGCAAGCGUUAUCCGGAAUUAUUGGGCGUAAAGGGUGCGUAGGCUGUUAAAUAAGUUUAUGGUCUAAGUGCAAUGCUCAACAUUGUGAUGCUAUAAAAACUGUUUAGCUAGAGUAAGAUAGAGGCAAGUGGAAUUCCAUGUGUAGUGGUAAAAUGCGUAAAUAUAUGGAGGAACACCAGUAGCGAAGGCGGCUUGCUGGGUCUUUACUGACGCUGAGGCACGAAAGCGUGGGGAGCAAACAGGAUUAGAUACCCUGGUAGUCCACGCCGUAAACGAUGAGUACUAAACGUUGGGUAAAACCAGUGUUGAAGUUAACACAUUAAGUACUCCGCCUGAGUAGUACGUACGCAAGUAUGAAACUUAAAGGAAUUGACGGGACUCCGCACAAGCGGUGGAUCAUGUUGUUUAAUUCGAAGGUACCCGAAAAACCUCACCAGGUCUUGACAUGCUUCUGCAAAGCUGUAGAAACACAGUGGAGGUUAUCAGUUGCACAGGUGGUGCAUGGUUGUCGUCAGCUCGUGUCGUGAGAUGUUGGGUUAAGUCCCGCAACGAGCGCAACCCUUAUUGUUAGUUGCCAGCACGUAAUGGUGGGGACUUUAGCAAGACUGCCAGUGAUAAAUUGGAGGAAGGUGGGGACGACGUCAAAUCAUCAUGCCCCUUAUGACCUGGGCUACAAACGUGAUACAAUGGCUGUUACAAAGGGUAGCUGAAACGCAAGUUUUUGGCGAAUCUCAAAAAAACAGUCUCAGUUCGGAUUGAAGUCUGCAACUCGACUUCAUGAAGUUGGAAUCGCUAGUAAUCGCGAAUCAGCAUGUCGCGGUGAAUACGUUCUCGGGGUUUGUACACACCGCCCGUCA